AUUGAACGCUGGCGGCAGGCCUAACACAUGCAAGUCGAGCGGAUGACGGGAGCUUGCUCCUUGAUUCAGCGGCGGACGGGUGAGUAAUGCCUAGGGAUCUGCCUGGUAGUGGGGGACAACGUUUCGAAAGGAACGCUAAUACCGCAUACGUCCUACGGGAGAAAGCAGGGGACCUUCGGGCCUUGCGCUAUCAGAUGAGCCUAGGUCGGAUUAGCUAGUUGGUGGGGUAAUGGCUCACCAAGGCGACAAUCCGUAACUGGUCUGAGAGGAUGAUCAGUCACACUGGAACUGAGACACGGUCCAGACUCCUACGGGAGGCAGCAGUGGGGAAUAUUGGACAAUGGGCGAAAGCCUGAUCCAGCCAUGCCGCGUGUGUGAAGAAGGUCUUCGGAUUGUAAAGCACUUUAAGUUGGGAGGAAGGGCAGUAAGUUAAUACCUUGCUGUUUUGACGUUACCGACAGAAUAAGCACCGGCUAACUCUGUGCCAGCCGCCGCCGUAAGAC
rnacentral:rRNA from 1 species